rnacentral:rRNA from 1 species
GGAAUAUUGCACAAUGGGCGCAAGCCUGCUGCAGCCAUGCCGCGUGUGUGAAGAAGGCCUUCGGGUUGUAAAGCACUUUCAGUGAGUAGGACAGGUUAAGUUUUAAUAGAGCUUAGCUGUGACGUUACUUACAGAAGAAGCACCGGCUAACUCCGUGCCAGCAGCCGCGGUAAUACGGAGGGUGCGAGCGUUAAUCGGAAUUACUGGGCGUAAAGCGUACGCAGGCGGUUUGUUAAGCGAGAUGUGAAAGCCCCGGGCUCAACCUGGGAACUGCAUUUCGAACUGGCAAACUAGAGUGUGAUAGAGGGUGGUAGAAUUUCAGGUGUAGCGGUGAAAUGCGUAGAGAUCUGAAGGAAUACCGAUGGCGAAGGCAGCCACCUGGGUCAACACUGACGCUCAUGUACGAAAGUGUGGGGAGCAAACA